UAGGUGUAUUCUGCUCUGUCUAGGUCGUA
rnacentral:piRNA from 1 species